UGUUUUAACUCUCAGUAAUGCCACAGUGAUCAUUUGAUAUAUGGACCUGCAGCAGAGUUUAGGCCCAGACACGGCUAGUGACGUCAGACUGAACAACCGGAUAAAGCCAAGAUGACCAGGAUUAUUCCAUUAAGGGGUAGGAAUGGCUAUCCUAAUUCGGUGCCUUAUAACAGCUGUAGUAAGUAAUAGUACCCACAUGUCAGUAUUUACUGAAUAUAAUCUAAAUAAAUAGUCAAAUCUUUAAAUAUAUAGAAUUUUAUAGAUAUAAAAGAGCGAACUAAACCAUUUCUGUACACAACCCCAUACUUCUGAGUUGGUACAGUCCAGCUUCGCGCCUCUAGCUUCUUGCCUCAAAUUUGGAUUGCAGGAUUAGUAAUAUUUUGGGGUACAGUGGUACAGUGUGAAGAAAUUAAGACACGCUAUGGAGAAACUGGACGAAAUAACAAUUGCCACCCUGAAAGAAGCAUAUGUUGGAGAAGACCUGCUCUCAUCACUGUCACGAGAUGACAUCAAAGAUCUGUUUCCUGGUCCUGAACAUUUCCUCAGGCGUCGGGCUCUAUGGCUUGCAGUGCACAAAUGUGAAGAAAAGACCCUGAAGGCUACCUGCAUCAGCGACCCCUGGGUGUCCAGUUCUGCUUGUCUCUAAAGGCAACUGCAUGAUAGCUGUUGGAAGCACACCGGUGAGCACUUUUGACCGGAAGGAUCUUAAUGAGGGACUGCUCUAUCUGAUGGCAUAUUACUACGCCCUCCACCUCACAUAUCCAAAGUGCAUUUCCACGCUGCUGUCUGUCUUGCAAACUGAAAUACUCAAAGACUCCAUCCAUGACCGAGAUUCAACCCCCUCUUACAGGAAGGCUCUUGGUGAGUGGAAGUCAUUCAUUGAGUGAGUCUCUCCGAUGACAGACUCCAUCUGCCUUGUUUAUCAGACUCAGUGUUAGUCAGUGAGGUUGGUUUUUUUUUUCUCUAGAAAAGUUGUUCAAAUGGAAAACACAUGUUUGUUUGUGUGGUCGUUAAACUUGUUCUUCUAAAAUGUUUUGGAAUAUAGGAUUUGCAAUAGUGAUUGUUUUAAGCUUCAGCAAAAUUUAGUUUUGAUACCAGCCAUGAGUGUGUUAUACUGUUAUUAUUCGUGUUAAGAGUAUCUGGAAUAUGCACUUCUUGUAUUGGCCAUGUUACACAGUACCCUGCUGAAAUGUAUAAUUUUAGACAUGAUUCUCCUGGAACAGACCUCAGUGAGUUACUGACCCAUUGCUGUGUCAAUAAAGCGCAAAAACUAAGA